ensembl:rRNA 5S_rRNA 5S ribosomal RNA
AACUACGAAGAGCUACCCUGAUCAAGCCUGAUCCUGUCUUAUCUCAGAAGCUAAGCACGGUCGGGCCUGGUUAGUACUUGGAUGGAAGACCACCUAGGAAGAUCAGAUGCUGUAGGCA